UACGUAGGGCGCAAGCGUUAUCCGGAAUUAUUGGGCGUAAAGAGCUCGUAGGCGGUUUGUCGCGUCUGCCGUGAAAGUCCGGGGCUCAACUCCGGAUCUGCGGUGGGUACGGGCAGACUAGAGUGAUGUAGGGGAGACUGGAAUUCCUGGUGUAGCGGUGAAAUGCGCAGAUAUCAGGAGGAACACCGAUGGCGAAGGCAGGUCUCUGGGCAUUAACUGACGCUGAGGCUCGAAAGCGUGGGGAUCAAACAGG
rnacentral:rRNA from 1 species